UAUUAAGUAAUUAUUAACUGCUUGGAAGUUCUUGAUAAAUACGCUUGCAACAUGAUUUUUUAUUAGCAUAUCAGUCAAAGGCAAGUCCUCUAUACUGAAAGCAAGCUGAAGGCCGAUGAAUAGACUACAAUACGUGCUGUGAAUGUCGUCAAGGGUUGGUCGUAUGUGUGCAAGAGCAAGACGGAUGGAGCCUACACUUUAAGGAGGUACAAUCAGCUAAUCUUGAUUCCAAGCGAUGAACUUCCAAUAAGCGAGUAGCAGGUGAUGUACUUAGUAUGGUGUACUAAAUAUAGACUACAUUAGUGUAGUGCUAUUCCAUUGAAAUUUAUAGAUUCAUAUAUUUAAGGAAUAUCAUUAAACGCGCGCAUGUCUCUUUACUGUGAUAUUUAACACGCUGGGAGCCGUUGUAGAGUACGAGAGAAGCAAACUUUACUAAUUAAAAGCACUUACAGCUCCUACAGUAUUUAUAUCAUAUUACAGAGACAUAAGAAGCCGUUUUAUUCCGCUUUAAA